GCAGCCGCCGCGGUAAUACCGAGGGUGCGAGCGUUAAUCGGAUUUACUGGGCGUAAAGCGUGCGUAGGCGGCUUCUUAAGUCGGAUGUGAAAUCCCUGAGCUUAACUUAGGAAUUGCAUUCGAUACUGGGAAGCUAGAGUAUGGGAGAGGAUGGUAGAAUUCCAGGUGUAGCGGUGAAAUGCGUAGAGAUCUGGAGGAAUACCGAUGGCGAAGGCAGCCAUCUGGCCUAAUACUGACGCUGAGGUACGAAAGCAUGGGGAGCAAACAGGAUUAGAUACCCGAGUAGUCCCUGUCUCUUAUAC
rnacentral:rRNA from 1 species